rnacentral:tRNA from 1 species
GGGGAUGUAGCUCAGAGGUAGAGCGUUGUCAUCGCAUGUACAAGGCCCUGGGGUGAAUCCCCAGCAUCUCCA